rnacentral:rRNA from 1 species
UACAUAGGGGGCAAGCGUUAUCCGGAUUUAUUGGGUGUAAAGGGUGCGUAGAUGGAGGAGCAAGUUGGUUGUGAAAUCCCUCGGCUCAACUGAGGAACUGCAACCAAAACUACUUCCCUUGAGUGUCGGAGAGGAAAGUGGAAUUCCUAGUGUAGCGGUAGAAUGCGUAGAUAUUAGGAAGAACACCGGAGGCGAAGGCGGAUAGCUGGCCUGUAACUGACGCUGAGACACGAAAGUGUGGGGAGCAAACAGG